GACGAACGCUGGCGGCGUGCCUAAUACAUGCAAGUCGAGCGCAGGAAACUGACGGAACUCUUCGGAGGGAAGGCAGUGGAAUGAGCGGCGGACGGGUGAGUAACACGUAAGGAACCUGCCUCAAGGAUUGGGAUAACUCCGAGAAAUCGGAGCUAAUACCGGAUAGUUCAUCGGACCGCAUGGUCCGUUGAUGAAAGGCGCUCCGGCGUCACCUUGAGAUGGCCUUGCGGUGCAUUAGCUAGUUGGUGGGGUAACGGCCCACCAAGGCGACGAUGAGUGGCCGACCUGAGAGUGUGAUCGGCGACACUGGGACUGAGACACGGCCCAGACGCCUACGGGAGGCAGCAGGAGGGAAUCUUCCACAAUGGACGAAAGUCUGAUGGAGCAACGCCGCGUGAGUGAUGAAGGUUUUCGGAUCGUAAAACUCUGUUGUAAGGGAAGAACACGUACGAGAGGAAAUGCUCGUACCUUGACGGUACCUUACGAGAAAGCCACGGCUAACUACGUGCCAGCCGCCGCGGUAACAC
rnacentral:rRNA from 1 species